ensembl:lncRNA
GUGACAAUAAAAGUCAAACACUCGGUGGUUGCCGGAGUCCUGGCUGGUUAUUAGUAUGUAAAUGAAAUCAUCACAGCUGUUCUAUGCGCGGAGAGGGGGAGAGCGGAGACAACAAACCCUGCAUUCUGAUGCUGUCUCCUGAACAACCAUCAGGCGCUGGCCACCUCUUCCAUACCCUGCAGUCAAGCAAUAAUGCAUGCACAAGUGCUUUUAUGCAUGCAAUUAAAUUAUGGCUAAAAUAUAGUGUACACAUAUACAGGAGAUGAUUUUUUUCAAAGUGACCUACAAAUGAAGAAUCCAACAAAGUGUGUCAUCCCGAGACAUCCCGACCAUCCUGACACAGCAACAUCAGGUCAACCAAUGGGAUGACUCUUGGAAUCAGACAGUGGUUAAACUUUCACGCUGAAGACAUGCAGACGUGAUCGCCAGAAUGUUGCACCUGAUUCCUGAACCCAGAGGAGAAUUUUAGAUUCAGAUGUUGCUCUUUUAAGGCUCCAGAGACUCCAAGGCAUCAUGAAAUUUACAUUAUUUACUUUUGCAAUACAUGUCUGUGGUCUCAUCGUGCAUGAUUCAUCAGUACACGCUGUUUGAAAGGACAAAAAGAAAAGCCCUUCCAAACUGAAUUGCUCACAGGCUGCUCAUUCACAUCGCAAAAGACCUAAUGGAGAUCCUUGUUAUGUUUCAUAAAUGUCAAAACACAAGUGAAGAAGAAGAUAAACAAU